GGGGGAUGCCUUGGCUCUCAGAGACGAAGAAGGACGUGUUAAGCUGCGAUAAGCUACGGUGAGCUGCACAAAAGCGUUGAUCCGUAGAUUUCCGAAUGGGACAACCCGGCUAGUUGAAGACUAGUCACCGAAAGGAGUGAACGCGGGGAACUGAAACAUCUAAGUACCCGCAGGAAGAGAAAACAAUAGUGAUUCCGCAAGUAGUGGCGAGCGAACGCGGACUAGCCCAGUGGCUCAGACAAGCGAACCGGAACCGGCUGGAAAGCCGGGCCAGAGCGGGUGAUAGCCCCGUACGGGUAGGAGCUUGUUUGGGUCCUCGAGUAGGGCGGGACACGUGAAAUCCUG
rnacentral:rRNA from 1 species